ACCGCCCAUCUGGAUGAGGAAGGGUAAAAUCCACUCAUUCCAUCUCAUACCACCUUUGAGACAACACCCAUGCUAUAGAGAAGAGAACUUGUACGAUAUUUGACUUUCCAUGACAAAUUCCAUCCAAUAGGGGGUUUAUCCUUUCUCGGGUUUAUUUUCGAGAAUAAAG